rnacentral:rRNA from 1 species
GAUCCGGUGGUGCUGCGUGGAAGGGCCAUCGCUCAACGGAUAAAAGCUACCCUGGGGAUAACAGGCUUAUCUCCCCCAAGAGUCCACAUCGACGGGGGGGUUUGGCACCUCGAUGUCGGCUCAUCACGUCCUGGGGCUGUAGUAGGUCCCAAGGGUUGGGCUGUUCGCCCAUUAAAGUGGUACGCGAGCUGGGUUCAGAACGUCGUGAGACAGUUCGGUCCCUAU